AAGUCGUAACAAGGUCUCCGUUGGUGAACCAGCGGAGGGAUCAUUACAGAGUUGCAAAACUCCCACAAACCAUCGCGAAUCUUACCCGUACGGUUGCCUCGGCGCUGGCGGUCCGGAAAGGCCCUCGCGCCCUCCCGGAUCCUCGGGUCUCCCGCUCGCGGGAGGCUGCCCGCCGGAGUGCCGAAACUAAACUCUUGAUAUUUUAUGUCUCUCUGAGUAAACUUUUAAAUAAGUCAAAACUUUCAACAACGGAUCUCUUGGUUCUG
rnacentral:misc_RNA from 1 species